GACGAAGGAUGCAAGCGUUAUCCGGAUUCAUUGGGUUUAAAGGGAGCGUAGGCGGCCUUGUAAGUCAGUGGUGAAAUCUCUCGGCUUAACCGAGAAAUUGCCAUUGAUACUGCAGGGCUUGAGUACAGUUGCCGUUGGCGGAAUAUGACAUGUAGUGGUGAAAUACAUAGAGAUGUCAUAGAACACCGAUUGCGAAGGCAGCUAACGAAACUGUAACUGACGCUGAGGCUCGAAAGUGCGGGGAUCAAAC
rnacentral:rRNA from 1 species